rnacentral:lncRNA from 1 species
CCCUGAGUUGACGACGUUGCCGCCGGAGAGGGAGUUUGAGUUUGUGAUUGAUGUAGUUCCUGGAACUGCACCAAUCUCAAAGGUACCUUAUCGGAUAGCGCCGGCUGAGCUGAGAGAGCUAAAGGCACAACUUCAGGAUUUGAUGGAUAAAGGGUUUGUGAGACCCAGUGUGUCGCCUUGGGGAGCGCCAGUGCUAUUUGUAAAGAAGAAGGAUGGUUCACUCAGGUUAUGUGUGGAUUACCGGGAGCUGAAUAAAGUGACCAUCAAGAAUAAGUAUCCACUGCCGCGCAUUGAUGAUUUAUUUGAUCAGUUGCAGGGAUCCUUCGUCUUCUCGAAGAUUGAUCUCUAGUCAGGUUACCACCAGCUGAGGGUGAGGGCCGAGGAUGUUCCCAAGACGGCUUUUCGGACUUGGUACGGGCAUUAUGAGUUUACAGUAAUGCCUUUUGGAUUGACAAAUACCCCUGCCGCAUUCAUGGAUUUGAGGAACAGAGUGUUCAAGCCGUUCUUGGAUAGAUUUGUGGUAGUCUUCAUCGACGACAUCCUGAUAUACUCCCGGAGUGAUGCUGAGCAUGAGGAGCACUUGAGGAUUGUGCUACAGCUUCUGCGAAAGAAGAAGCUGUAUGCCAAGUUGAAGAAGUGCGAGUUCUGGCUUCGGGAGGUUGCUUUCUUGGGCCACGUGAUUUCAGCCGAGGGCGUAGCAGUGGACCCGAAGAAGAUUGAGGCGAUUCGAGAUUGGCCUAGACCGACGACGGUGACUGAGGUACGGAGCUUCCUGGGACUGGCAGGAUAUUACCGUCGGUUUGUGGAAGGCUUUGCGAAACUUUCCACACCCCUCACACGCUUGACGCGAAAGGGGAUUCGUUUUGUUUGGAGCGAUGACUGUCAGAGGAGCUUUGACGAGUUGAGACUGAGGUUGACAUCAGCUCCUAUCCUUGCCCUUCCGGUGAUGGGGGAUGGAUUUGUGAUCUACAGUGAUGCAUCGCACAGUGGACUUGGUUGCGUGCUGAUGCAGCAUGGUAGGGUGAUUGUUUAUGCUUCACGGCAAUUAAAGGAUUUUGAGAAGAAUUACCCUACGCAUGACUUGGAGCUUGCCGCGGUGGUUUUUGCUUUGAAGCUCUGGCGGCAUUACCUGUACGGCGAGCACUGCGAGGUUUUCACCGAUCAUCAAAGUCUCAAGUAUCUGUUCACACAGAAGGAGCUGAAUCUGAGGCAGCGCCGGUGGUUGGAGUUACUGAAGGACUAUGACAUUAGUAUUCAGUAUCAUCCCGGCAGGGCGAAUGUGGUGGCAGAUGCGUUGAGCAGGAAGUCAGUGCAGAGCCUGAGUUUGAGGAUUACUGAGGAGAGACCCCUACUCGAGGAGUUACAGCGGCUGGGACUCGAGAUAGUACCCCCUGGGUUUACGGCGAGGCUGACGUCUCUAGUAUUACAGCCCACUCUGUUGGAUAGAAUCCGAGAGAAACAAAGUGGAGAUCCGUACUUGUUGAGGAUUAGAGAGCAGUUAGACAGGGGGCAGGCUGAGGGAUUUGCUUUGGACAGUUCGGGAGUACUACGGUACAGGGACCGACUGUGUGUGCCUGUGGAUCCGGAGAUUCGAGCGGAUAUUCUGAGAGAGGCUCAUUGUUCCCCUUAUACGGUUCACCCUGGGGGAACCAAGAUGUAUAAGGAUCUUAAGGCACAGUUUUGGUGGCCUGGAAUGAAGAGGGACAUUGGCAGAUUUGUGGCUCAGUGUUUGACUUGCCAACAGGUGAAGGCCGAGCAUCGGGUGCCUGCUGGCAAGCUUCAGAGUCUGCCAGUUCCCGAGUGGAACUGGGAGCACACCACGAUGGACUUCGUCGUUGGAUUGCCUAGAGCGCAGGGUGGCUACGACGCGAUUUGGGUGAUAGUGGACAGACUGACCAAGUCUGCUCACUUCCUACCGGUUCAGACUACCUGGUCCAGGGAGAGACUCGCGCAGCUAUACUUGGAUGAGAUCGUUAGGCUGCACGGCGUGCCAGUGUCGAUUGUAUCAGAUAGAGACCCGAGGUUCGUAUCCCAGUUUUGGAGGAGCCUUCAGACAGCCUUGGGUACACAGCUACAUUUCAGCACAGCGUUCCACCCACAGACAGAUGGUCAGUCAGAGCGGACCAUUCAGACUCUAGAGGACAUGCUGAGGGCAUGUGUUCUGGACUUUGGAGGAGGGUGGUAUCGACAUUUGAGACUGGUUGAGUUUGCGUACAACAACAGCUAUCAAGCGAGCAUUCAGAUGGCUCCGUUUGAGGCGUUGUAUGGACGCAAAUGUCGAUCCCCCCUAUUUUGGAGUGAUGUGGGUGAGCGGAGGACACUUGGACCAGAGAUUCUACUUGAGGCUGAAGAAAAGGUGAGAGUCGUUCGACGACACCUUUUGACAGCACAGAGCCGACAGAGGAGCUACGCCGAUACCAGGAGACGAGACUUGGAGUUUCAGGUUGGAGAUCAUGUUUUUCUCAAAGUCUCGCCGUCUAGAGGGAUACGCCGUUUUGGAGUACGUGGAAAGCUUAGUCCACGGUUUGUUGGCCCUUUCGAGGUAUUGGAGCGUAUCGGACCGGUGGCUUACAGGAUAGCUCUACCCCCGCGACUUGCUGGCAUCCACGAUGUUUUCCACGUCUCAGCAUUGAAGAGAUAUGUUUUCGAUCCCUCUCAUGUGAUUGACUUCACUCCACUAGAGAUUGGCGAGGAUCUGAGAUACGAGGAGCGACCAUUGCGGAUUCUUGCUCAGGAGACGAAAGAAUUGCGCAAUCGGGCCAUCCCGUAUGUGAAAGUGCAGUGGAGCAAUCACGAGGAGCGGGAGGCGACUUGGGAGCCUGAGACAGUGAUGAGGGAGUCCUACCCCGACUUGUUCGUUGCCCCGUCUUAAGGUAUGUUUUAAGUUUCGAGGACGAAACUUUUUAUAGUGGGGGAGGAUGUAGUAUCCUUAUUUCUUUAUCUUUUCUUUUCCUUUUUCUUUUUAUUUCUUUUGAGUUGGUAAGCAUGCUGGGGAUAAGGAUGCCACGUGCACCUUACCCCCAAGCAUGCUUAUCACCUUAAUACUUGUGCAUAGUUUAUAUAUAAUUCUUGAGCCUCUACGCAUAUAGUUCUUGAGCCGUACGUAGAGGAGGAGCUCAGGUGGUGUGGAGUUUCGUCGACGUCGCGCAGCGGUGCCGUUCGAGCGUGUGUUCGUCGUCGUAGCAUCGCGAGGGGGGCCGGGCGAGGGUCCGAUUCUGCCGUUUUUGUUGUCGCGCCGGAUUGUGAUUAGCGUUUGAGGUGGGUUACAUCGGCUUUACUCCUAAGUUCUUAUUGGUCGACAUGUAUAGAUCUUGAUUUCGGUCAUUAAUUUAGCUCAAAUUCAUGGACUAUAUGUAGAUUGUGAAAUCUGAAUUUUGGAGCAUAUUUUAUAAAUUAAGUAGAUCAUACAUGUUGGACUUGGAAAUUGAAUUAGGAGAAAACCUACGAUUUGGACCUGUCACCAGUUUUAACUACCUGAUUUAGCUCUAGGAGCCGUUAGAAAAUUGUACUGUCGCAGUUCUUCGAGACGAGUACUCCAGGUAGUUUAGAAUGUAUUUACACUCGUGCUCGUUCGCCGAGUGGAUUUUUACAGGGUCGUUCAGGUUGUUUCGGACUGUUGGGUGCCGUCAGAGUUGACGGUGGACCCGUAUCGCCUUUUUGGGCGUCAGAUUGUGCCGAGGGCACGUUACCUAUUGGUUGUUAGACCAGUUUGAGUCGAUUACUUGACUUUGGCUAGUUGGAGCCUGUUUGAGCUCGACAGAGAUACGCUGCAUACUCGGUUGGGUAGCGCCCACGAGUGCCACUCCGGAGUCAGGCUUGUGCUUUCGCGUUGGUGUCGCUCAUGCCAGUUGGACUUGCUCUCCACGGACCAGUUGGUGUGGAGGUAGCUGGAUAGUCGCAACGGGGCAGGGACGGGUGUGUUCACACUCCCAGGGACGGGUAUGCUUAUAGUCCCGAUUGGAUUGGGUCAGAUUGACAUUUCCUACAGUUGGUUAGUGUAGAGCAUGAUAGUGUAGUAAUUGAUAGCGGUAGAGCGUACUUCCUGCUUUUCCUACUAUUCUUGCUCCCUUCUGUAGACUUAGUGGGUGACCGAUGUUGUUUUGGGCGGUACCCACUGAGGACUACUUGUUUUUACAGUAGUUCUCACGCCCAGUUGUUACUCUUGUUUUGCAGAGCCAUAGGUUUCGGCUGCUGCGCCUUCCGCGGAUCAGGAUCGAGGCAAGGGCGUCGCGAGUUAGAGCCCUACCUGACGAGCAGAGUUAGAGGCACCCCUACUGCAGGUAGAUGUUUUGUUUCGAGUUUAUGUACAUAGUUUACCUAACUCGCCAGUGCGAGUAACUCUGUAUUUUGGAUUUGAGCUAUGUAUAUGAAACUCAAUUUGUUUAGCUUUUGUUUUCUCUAGCAGCUCUAUACUACUGUUUGUAGUAUUGUAUGUUUACAGGUACAGCUGUCGCUUCGUAUACAGGGAAAAUUCCUUUGUAUACGGCGGAUUUGUCGGCGUGCCCGGGGAACGUGUAAUCCGGGGCGUGACAGAUUAAGUUGGUAUCAGAGCUUUGCUAUAGGUCAUUGGGACCUAGGAAACCUAAGUUGGCAAACCUUAGGAAGCAAGACGCGAGAGGCGUGAUUUAAUUGCGGAAGUCGAUGAUUAUUUGUUCUAACUCCUCCUAAAGCGGAGUGAGUGACUGAAGGAGUUCCUGUUUUGGCCUGAGAAAUUAUGUUGGCUGCAGACGACAUAAUUUUGGAGGAAAACAGGGACCGCCUUCCAGACUUUCGUUGAUUGGGUCGAGAGUGUUGUAUUGUAUCUGACCCCGACUUGUUCUUUGCAGCUAUGUAUCGUCGCCGAGGUCGACCUUCGUUACGGGAGCGCGCCGAGUUGGCGCGAGAUCGUGCUGGACCUUCUGAGAGACCCGAGCAGAUGGAGCAGAGUGCUCGGCAGGAGCAGAGUGACAGACCGGAGGCGAGUGCACCCCCUGUUGUAGGGCCGAGUGCGCAACCUGAGGCUGGCGCACCCCCUGACCUAAGUGCACAGUUGGUUGCCCUGACUGAGGUGACGAGGCAGCAGGGGGAGUUGUUGCAGAGGUUGUGUGAGAGAAUAGCUCAGUCACCGAGUUCAGCACCGAGUAUACCAGAGCAUACUGUUCCCCCACCGACUACUCCAGUGUCAGCUCCAGCCGCAGCUAUGCCCCCACCAGUGGAGCUUCCUACAGCGCCAGUUGCGCCUGCUAGGGGACCCGUACAGUUGACAGAGGCCGAGCAGGAGCGAUGGACGGAGAGGUUGGCUCGUUUCCGCUGAUUUGAUCCACCUACUUUCGAUGGCAGCGGCACUGAGGCCUGGGUUGUUGAGGGAUGGGUCAGUGCUAUGGAGAGGUUAUUCGAGGAUCUGUACGUUCCAGAGGGGGAGCAGGUACCUUUGGGAGUACAUUGUUUGUCAGGUGAUGCACGUGAUUGGUGGCGGAGAGCGAGGCGAGACCAGGGACUAGUGGCGGCACAGCUGAGGUCGGAUGAGUUCUGUGGAAUGCUGUAUGGGAUGUAUUUUCCCAACAGCAUGAAACAGAAGAUUGAGGAGGAUUUAAAGAGGAUCCAGCAGGGCGAGCGGACAGUUCAGGAGUAUGUUCGGGAGUUUACUAGACUCUUGAACUGUGUUCCGUUCGUGGCCAGAGACGAGGCACAUAGGGUCUACUUGUUUGAGCAGGGUUUGACACCCGACCUAUUCAGGUUUGUUAGGGCGCAGAGGUCGAGGACUUUGGACGCGUCCAUUGAGCAGGCACUAUGGGAGGAGAGAGGAGAGGUGUCACUGCGAGAGAGGGCUCAGGGGCCGGGACAGAGUCAGGACAGGAAGCGCCCAGCUCCAAACGACGGAGGACAGUCGAGUAGCAGGCGUCCGCCGAGACCUCCACGAUCGCGUUCUCAGGGUCGUGGGUUCUCGGGACGUCAGCGAUCCAGAGACUUCCGUCAGCGAGGACAGCCAGAGAGGACGCCGCAGUGUGUGAUCUGCGGAGGACCACACUGGCCCAGACAGUGUGAGCAGAGGGAGGGCCGGUGCUACGGAUGUGGUCAGCCGGGACACAUGAGGGCAGCUUGUCCCAGAGCAGCAUCUCCAGCACCAUCAUCUGCUUCAGCUCCACCAGCACCUCAGCAGACUUAUAGAGCAGCACCGAGUUACCGCCAGGAUGAUAGAUCGUCCAUGCCGCGACAGAGUGAGCGUCGACAGCAGGCUCCGAGUGGUAGAGUCUAUGCAGCUCAGGUGGAGGACUCUACAGCAGCCGACCGAGUGGUGGCAGGUAUCACUUUGAUUUCUGGCAUUAGAGUUCACACUCUUUUUGAUACUGGUGCAACGCAUUCCUUUGUUAGCCGAGCAUUUGCAUUGUUGCAUGGUCUAGAGUUAGGGGCAUUGUCACAGGCACGAGAGGUGCAGAUCCCGGACCAUGUUUUACAGGUUGCGGAGUGUUGUUGGUCGUGUCCGGUGCAGUUGGACUCGUGGGUCAUGCCCGCAGACCUGUUGGUGUUAGGGCAGCUGCAGGACUUCGACGUCGUGCUCGGUAUGGAUUGGCUUGCGCGGUACUAUGCUACGAUCGACUGUGGAGCGAGGACGGUGACGUUCCGCGAGCCAGGUCAGGAAGAGUUCACAUUCAGAGGCUGCAGGAGUACGCUAUUUGCCACCUGGAUAUCUUCGGCGAGGGCUCGACAGAUGCUGAGUAGCGGGUGUAUCGCUUUCCUAGCGACUGUUGUGGAGGUACCUACGGCGGCGCCGGGACUUGAGGACAUCCCAGUAGUCCGCGAGUUUCCGGAUGUAUUUCCCCCUGAGUUGACGACGUUGCCGCCGGAGAGGGAGAUUGAGUUUGUGAUUGAUGUGGUUCCUGGAACUGCACCAAUCUCAAAGGUACCUUAUCGGAUGGCGCCGGCAGAGCUGAGAGAGCUAAAGGCACAGCUUCAGGAUUUGAUGGAUAAAGGGUUUGUGAGACCCAGUGUGUCGCCUUGGGGAGCGCCAGUGCUAUUUGUAAAGAAGAAGGAUGGUUCACUCAGGUUAUGUGUGGAUUACCGGGAGCUGAAUAAAGUGACCAUCAAGAAUAAGUAUCCACUGCCGCGCAUUGAUGAUUUAUUUGAUCAGUUGCAGGGAUCCUUCGUCUUCUCGAAGAUUGAUCUCUAGUCAGGUUACCACCAGCUGAGGGUGAGGGCCGAGGAUGUUCCCAAGACGGCUUUUCGGACUUGGUACGGGCAUUAUGAGUUUACAGUAAUGCCUUUUGGAUUGACAAAUACCCCUGCCGCAUUCAUGGAUUUGAGGAACAGAGUGUUCAAGCCGUUCUUGGAUAGAUUUGUGGUAGUCUUCAUCGACGACAUCCUGAUAUACUCCCGGAGUGAUGCUGAGCAUGAGGAGCACUUGAGGAUUGUGCUACAGCUUCUGCGAAAGAAGAAGCUGUAUGCCAAGUUGAAGAAGUGCGAGUUCUGGCUUCGGGAGGUUGCUUUCUUGGGCCACGUGAUUUCAGCCGAGGGCGUAGCAGUGGACCCGAAGAAGAUUGAGGCGAUUCGAGAUUGGCCUAGACCGACGACGGUGACUGAGGUACGGAGCUUCCUGGGACUGGCAGGAUAUUACCGUCGGUUUGUGGAAGGCUUUGCGAAACUUUCCACACCCCUCACACGCUUGACGCGAAAGGGGAUUCGUUUUGUUUGGAGCGAUGACUGUCAGAGGAGCUUUGACGAGUUGAGACUGAGGUUGACAUCAGCUCCUAUCCUUGCCCUUCCGGUGAUGGGGGAUGGAUUUGUGAUCUACAGUGAUGCAUCGCACAGUGGACUUGGUUGCGUGCUGAUGCAGCAUGGUAGGGUGAUUGUUUAUGCUUCACGGCAAUUAAAGGAUUUUGAGAAGAAUUACCCUACGCAUGACUUGGAGCUUGCCGCGGUGGUUUUUGCUUUGAAGCUCUGGCGGCAUUACCUGUACGGCGAGCACUGCGAGGUUUUCACCGAUCAUCAAAGUCUCAAGUAUCUGUUCACACAGAAGGAGCUGAAUCUGAGGCAGCGCCGGUGGUUGGAGUUACUGAAGGACUAUGACAUUAGUAUUCAGUAUCAUCCCGGCAGGGCGAAUGUGGUGGCAGAUGCGUUGAGCAGGAAGUCAGUGCAGAGCCUGAGUUUGAGGAUUACUGAGGAGAGACCCCUACUCGAGGAGUUACAGCGGCUGGGACUCGAGAUAGUACCCCCUGGGUUUACGGCGAGGCUGACGUCUCUAGUAUUACAGCCCACUCUGUUGGAUAGAAUCCGAGAGAAACAAAGUGGAGAUCCGUACUUGUUGAGGAUUAGAGAGCAGUUAGACAGGGGGCAGGCUGAGGGAUUUGCUUUGGACAGUUCGGGAGUACUACGGUACAGGGACCGACUGUGUGUGCCUGUGGAUCCGGAGAUUCGAGCGGAUAUUCUGAGAGAGGCUCAUUGUUCCCCUUAUACGGUUCACCCUGGGGGAACCAAGAUGUAUAAGGAUCUUAAGGCACAGUUUUGGUGGCCUGGAAUGAAGAGGGACAUUGGCAGAUUUGUGGCUCAGUGUUUGACUUGCCAACAGGUGAAGGCCGAGCAUCAGGUGCCUGCUGGCAAGCUUCAGAGUCUGCCAGUUCCCGAGUGGAAGUGGGAGCACACCACGAUGGACUUCGUCGUUGGAUUGCCUAGAGCGCAGGGUGGCUACGACGCGAUUUGGGUGAUAGUGGACAGACUGACCAAGUCUGCUCACUUCCUACCGGUUCAGACUACCUGGUCCAGGGAGAGACUCGCGCAGCUAUACUUGGAUGAGAUCGUUAGGCUGCACGGCGUGCUAGUGUCGAUUGUAUCAGAUAGAGACCCGAGGUUCGUAUCCCAGUUUUGGAGGAGCCUUCAGACAGCCUUGGGUACACAGCUACAUUUCAGCACAACAUUCCACCCACAGACAGAUGGUCAGUCAGAGCGGACCAUUCAGACUCUAGAGGACAUGCUGAGGGCAUGUGUCCUGGACUUUGGAGGAGGGUGGUAUCGACAUUUGAGACUUGUUGAGUUUGCGUACAACAACAGCUAUCAAGCGAGCAUUCAAAUGGCUCCGUUUGAGGCGUUGUAUGGACGCAAAUGUCGAUCCCCCCUAUUUUGGAGUGAUGUGGGUGAGCGGAGGACAUUUGGACCAGAGAUUCUACUUGAGGCUGAAGAAAAGGUGAGAGUCGUUCGACGACACCUUUUGACAGCACAGAGCCGACAGAGGAGCUACGCCGAUACCAGGAGACGAGACUUGGAGUUUCAGGUUGGAGAUCAUAUUUUUCUCAAAGUCUCGCCGUCUAGAGGGAUACGUCAUUUUGGAGUACGUGGAAAGCUUAGUCCACGGUUUGUUGGCCCUUUCGAGGUAUUGGAGAAUAUCGGACCGGUGGCUUACAGGAUAGCUCUAUCCCCGCGACUAGCUGGCAUUCAUGAUGUAUUCCACGUCUCGGCGCUAAGAAAGUAUGUUUUCGAUCCGUCUCAUGUGAUUGACUUCACCCCACUAGAGAUUGGUGAGGACUUGAGGUACGAGGAGCGACCGGUGCGAAUUCUUGCUCGUGAGACGAAAGAAUUGCACAACCGGAUCAUUCCGUACGUGAAAGUGCAGUGGAGCAAUCACGAGGAGCGGGAGGCGACUUGGGAGCCUGAGAAGGUGAUGAGGGAGUCUUACCGCGACCUGUUCGUUGCCCCGUGUUGAGGUAUGUGUUAAGUUUCGAGGACGAAACUUUUUUGUAGUAGGGGAGGAUGUAGUAUCCUUAAUUUUGUUUUUAUUUGAGUUGGUAGACUAGUAGUGGAUAAGGAUGCCACGUGUAACUCUAACCUCAUGCAUCCUUAUCAAUUGAGUUUUAACUGAGGUGUAUAGUUUUUUUAUUUUCAUUUUUACUUCUUCUCUCUUUCUCCAUUCGGCCGAAGUAAGGAGGAGUUCGGGUUGUGCCGCGGAGCUCGAUUUCGACGCCGACGAUGCGCCGCGAAGCCGUUCGAAGGUACGGUUGGGCUCGUAGUGUUGUGAGGAGGCUUGGCAAGGGUCUAUUUCCGCCAUUCUCGACGUCGCGCCGGAUUGGAUUUAGCUUUCGAGGUGGGUUACAUCGGCUUUACUCCUAAGUUAUUAUUGGUCGACAUGUAUAGAUCUUGAUUUCGGUCAUUAAUUUAGCUCAAAUUCAUGGACUAUAUGUAGAUUGUGAAAUCUGAAUUUUGGAGCAUAUUUUAUAAAUUAAGUAGAUCAUACAUAUUGGACUUGGAAAUUGAAUUAGGAGAAAACCUACGAUUUGGACCUGUCACCAGUUUUAACUACCUGAUUUAGCUCUAGGAGCCGUUAGAAAAUUGUACUGUCGCAGUUAUUCGAGACGAGUACUCCAGGUAGUUUAGAAUGUAUUUACACUCGUGCUCGUUCGCCGAGUGGAUUUUUACAGGGUCGUUCAGGUUGUUUCGGACUGUUGGGUGCCGUCAGAGUUGACGGUGGACCCGUAUCGCCUUUUUGGGCGUCAGAUUGUGCCGAGGGCACUUACCUGUUGGUUGUUAGACCAUUUUGAGUCGAUUACUUGACUUUGGCUAGUUGGAGCCUGUUUGAGCUCGACAGAGAUACGCUGCAUACUCGGUUGGGUAGCGCCCACGAGUGCCACUCCGGAGUCAGGCUUGUGCUUUCGCGUUGGUGUCGCUCAUGCCAGUUGGACUUGCUCUCCACGGACCAGUUGGUGUGGAGGUAGCUGGAUAGUCGCAACGGGGCAGGGACGGGUGUGUUCACAGUCCCAGGGACGGGUAUGUUUAUAGUCCCGAUUGGAUUGGGUCAGAUUGACAUUUUCUACAGUUGGUUAGUGUAGAGCAUGAUAGUGUAGUGAUUGAUAGCGGUAGAGCGUACUUCCUGCUUUUCCUACUAUUCUUGCUCCCUUCUGUAGACUUAGUGGGUGACCGAUGUUGUUUUGGGCGGUACCCACUGAGGACUACUUGUUUUUACAGUAGUUCUCACGCCCAGUUGUUACUCUUGUUUUGCAGAGCCACAGGUUUCGGCUGCUGCGCCUUCUGCGGAUCAGGAUCGAGGCAAGAGCGUCGCGAGUUAGAGCCCUACCUGACGAGCAGAGUUAGAGGCACCCCUACUGCAGGUAGAUGUUUUGUUUCGAGUUUAUGUAUAUAGUUUACCUAACUCGCCAGUGCGAGUAACUCUGUAUUUUGGAUUUGAGCUAUAUAUAUGAAACUCAAUUUGUUUAGCUUUUGUUUUCUCUAGCAGCUCUAUACUACUGUUUGUAGUAUUGUAUGUUUUACAGGUACAGCUGUCGCUUCGUAUACAGGGAAAAUUCCUUUGUAUACGGCGGAUUUGUCGGCGUGCCCGGGGAACGUGUAAUCCGGGGCGUGACAUCGUAAGUUUCUUCUCCUCCGCUUAUUGAUAUGCUUAAACUCAGCGGGUGGCCCCGCCUGACCUGGGGUCGCGGUCCGAUGCGGCCCGCCCUUUUCUUUUACAUCGUAAAGGGGGAGGCGCGCGCUCGGGGUGGGGGUCCUCUCGGGGGCCGUUCGCCGCUGGGGCCGGAGGCACGGCGCUCGGCUCGCGGUCGCNCUCCCUUCUGUAGACUUAGUGGGUGACCGAUGUUGUUUUGGGCGGUACCCACUGAGGACUACUUGUUUUUACAGUAGUUCUCACGCUCAGUUGUUACCUAUGUUUUUGCAGAGCCACAGGUGCCGGCUGCUGCACCGUCUGCGGACCUGGAUCGAGGCAAGGGCGUCGCGAGUUAGAGCCCCUACCCGACGUGCUGAGCUAGAGGUGCCCUACUGCAGGUAGAUGUUUUGUUUAGAGUUUAUGUACAUAGUUGACUUAACUCGCCAGUGCGAGUAGCUCUGUAUUUUGGAUCUGAACUAUGUAUAUAAAACUCUGUUUUAUUUAGCUUCAGUUUUCUCUAGCAGCUCUCUACUACUGUUCGUAGUAGUGUUUGAUUUACAGGUACAGCUAUCGCUUCGUAUACAGGAAAAAUUUCUUUGUAUACGGCGGAUCUGUCGGCGUGCCCGGGGAACCUGUAAUCCGGGGCGUGACAGAUUAAGUUGGUAUCAGAGCUUUGCUAUAGGUCGUUGGGACCUAGGAAACCUAAGUUGGCAAACCUUAGGAAGCAAGACGCGAGAGGCGUGAUUUAAUUGCGGAAGUCGAUGAUUAUUUGUUCUAACUCCUCCUAAAGCGGAGUGAGUGACUGAAGGAGUUCCUGUUUUGGCCUGAGAAAUUAUGUUGGCUGCAGACGACAUAAUUUUGGAGGAAAACAGGGACCGCCUUCCAGACUUUCGUUGAUUGGGUCGAGAGUGUUGUAUUGUAUCUGACCCCGACUUGUUCUUUGCAGCUAUGUAUCGUCGCCGAGGUCGACCUUCGUUACGGGAGCGCGCCGAGUUGGCGCGAGAUCGUGCUGGACCUUCUGAGAGACCCGAGCAGAUGGAGCAGAGUGCUCGGCAGGAGCAGAGUGACAGACCGGAGGCGAGUGCACCCCCUGUUGUAGGGCCGAGUGCGCGACCUGAGGCUGGCGCACCCCCUGACCUAAGUGCACAGUUGGCUGCCCUGACUGAGGUGACGAGGCAGCAGGGGGAGUUGUUGCAGAGGUUGUGUGAGAGAAUAGCUCAGUCACCGAGUUCAGCACCGAGUAUACCAGAGCAUACUGUUCCCCCACCGACUACUCCAGUGUCAGCUCCAGCCGCAGCUAUGCCCCCACCAGUGGAGCUUCCUACAGCGCCAGUUGCGCCUGCUAGGGGACCCGUACAGUUGACAGAGGCCGAGCAGGAGCGAUGGACGGAGAGGUUGGCUCGUUUCCGCCGAUUUGAUCCACCUACUUUCGAUGGCAGCGGCACUGAGGCCUGGGUUGUUGAGGGAUGGGUCAGUGCUAUGGAGAGGUUAUUCGAGGAUCUGUACGUUCCAGAGGGGGAGCAGGUACCUUUGGGAGUACAUUGUUUGUCAGGUGAUGCACGUGAUUGGUGGCGGAGAGCGAGGCGAGACCAGGGACUAGUGGCGGCACAGCUGAGGUGGGAUGAGUUCUGUGGAAUACUGUAUGGGAUGUAUUUUCCCAACAGCAUGAAACAGAAGAUUGAGGAGGAUUUAAAGAGGAUCCAGCAGGGCGAGCGGACAGUUCAGGAGUAUGUUCGGGAGUUUACUAGACUCCUGAACUGUGUUCCGUUCGUGGCCAGGGACGAGGCUCACAGGGUCUACUUAUUCGAGCAGGGUUUGAGGCCAGAUCUCUUCAGGUUUGUCAGGGCGCAGAGGUCGAGGACCCUGGAUGCGUCUAUUGAGCAGGCGUUGUGGGAGGAGCGAGGAGAGGUGUCCCUCAGAGAGCGGGUGCAGGCGCCGGGGCCGAGUCAGGAUAGGAAGCGCCCCUUUCCAGAUGACGGAGGGCAGUCGAGCAGCAGACGUCCGCCGAGACCUCCACGAUCACGUUCUCAGGGUCGUGGGUCUUCGGGGCGUCAGCGUUCCAGGGGAUCCCGUCAGCAGGGGCAGACUCAGAGGACGCCACAGUGUGUGAUCUGUGGGGGACCACACUGGCCUCGGCAGUGCGAGCAUAGAGAGGGCAGGUGCUACGGAUGUGGUCAGCCGGGACAUAUGAGGGCAGCGUGUCCCCGAGCAGCAUCUCCAGCACCGUCAUCAGCUUCGGCACCACCAGCACCACAGCAGUCUUACGGAGCAGCACCGAGCUACCGUCAGGAGGAUAGAUCGUCUGUGCCGCGGUCGAGUGAGCGGCGACAGCAGGCUCCGAGUGGCAGGGUCUACGCAGCUCAGGUGGAGGACUCAUCAGCAGCCGACCGAGUGGUGGCAGGUAUCACUUUGAUCUCUGGCAUUAGAGUUCGCACUCUUUUUGAUACCGGUGCAUCGCAUUCCUUUGUUAGCCGAGCAUUUGCAUUGUUGCAUGGUCUAGAGUUAGGAGCGUUGUCUCAGGCACGAGAGGUGCAGAUCCCCGACCAUGUCUUGCAGGUUACAGAGUGUUGUUGGUCCUGUCCGGUGCAGUUAGACUCUUGGAUCAUGCCCGCAGACCUGUUGGUGUUAGGGCAGCUGCAGGACUUCGACGUCGUGCUCGGUAUGGAUUGGCUUGCGCGAUACUAUGCUACGAUCGACUGUGGAGCGAGGACGGUGACGUUCCGCGAGCCAGGUCAGGAAGAGUUCACAUUCAGAGGCUGCAGGAGUACGCUAUUUGCCACCUGGAUAUCUUCGGCGAGGGCUCGACAGAUGCUGAGUAGCGGGUGUAUCGCUUUCCUAGCGACUGUUGUGGAGGUACCUACGGCGGCGCCGGGACUUGAGGACAUCCCAGUAGUCCGCGAGUUUCCGGAUGUAUUUUCCCCUGAAUUGACGACGUUGCCGCCGGAGAGGGAGAUUGAGUUUGUGAUUGAUGUGGUUCCUGGAACUGCACCAAUCUCAAAGGUACCUUAUCGGAUGGCGCCGGCAGAGCUGAGAGAGCUAAAGGCACAGCUUCAGGAUUUGAUGGAUAAAGGGUUUGUGAGACCCAGUGUGUCGCCCUGGGGAGCGCCAGUGCUAUUUGUAAAGAAGAAGGAUGGUUCACUCAGGUUAUGUGUGGAUUACCGGGAGCUGAAUAAAGUGACCAUCAAGAAUAAGUAUCCACUGCCGCGUAUUGAUGAUUUAUUUGAUCAGUUGCAGGGAUCCUUCGUCUUCUCAAAGAUUGAUCUCCAGUCAGGUUACCACCAGCUGAGGGUGAGGGCCGAGGAUGUUCCCAAGACGGCUUUUCGGACUCGGUACGGGCAUUAUGAGUUCACGGUGAUGCCUUUUGGAUUGACGAAUGCCCCUGCCGCAUUCAUGGAUUUGAUGAACAGAGUGUUCAAGCCGUUCUUGGAUAGGUUUGUGGUAGUCUUCAUCGACGAUAUUCUGAUUUACUCCCGGAGUGAUGCUGAGCAUGAGGAGCACUUGAGGAUUGUGCUACAACUUCUGCGUGAGAAGAAGUUGUAUGCCAAGUUAAAGAAGUGCGAGUUCUGGCUACUGGAGGUUGCUUUCUUGGGUCACGUGAUUUCAGCUGAGGGCGUUGCAGUGGACCCGAAGAAGAUUGAGGCGAUUCGGGAUUGGCCGAGACCGACGACGGUGACUGAGGUACGCAGUUUCCUGGGGCUGGCAGGAUACUACCGUCGGUUUGUGGAAGGCUUUGCAAAGCUUUCCACACCCCUCACGCGUCUGACGCGGAAGGGGAUUCGCUUUGUUUGGAGUGACGAUUGUCAGAGGAGCUUUGACGAGUUGAGACAGAGACUGACAUCAGCUCCUAUCCUUGCCCUUCCAGAGAUGGGUGAAGGUUUUGUGAUAUACAGUGAUGCAUCGCACAGUGGGCUUGGUUGUGUGCUGAUGCAGCAUGGUAGGGUGAUUGCUUAUGCUUCACGGCAAUUAAAGGAUUAUGAGAAGAAUUACCCUACGCAUGACUUGGAGCUUGCCGCAGUGAUUUUUGCAUUGAAGCUCUGGCGGCAUUACUUGUAUGGCGAGCACUGCGAGAUUUUUACUGAUCAUAAAAGUCUCAAGUAUCUGUUCACCCAAAAGGAGUUGAAUUUGAGACAGCGCCGGUUGUUGGAGUUGCUGAAGGAUUAUGACAUCAGUAUCCAGUAUCAUCCCGGCAAGGCGAAUGUGGUGGCAGAUGCGUUGAGCAGGAAGGCAGUGCAGAGCUUGAGUAUGUUGAUCACUCGGCAGGGACCGUUACUCGAGGAGCUGAGACGGCUGGGACUCGAGGUAGUGUCCCCUGGAUUUACUGCGAGAUUGAUGUCUAUGAUCUUGCAGCCCACUCUGUUGGAUAGAAUCCGAGAGAAACAGAGUGGAGAUCCGUAUUUGUUGAGGAUUAGAGAGCAGUUAGAUAGGGGGCAGGCUGAGGGAUUUGCUUUGGACAGUUCGGGAGUACUACGGUACAGGGACCGACUGUGUGUGCCUGUGGAUCCGGAGAUUCGAGCGGAUAUUCUGAGAGAGGCUCAUUGUUCCCCUUAUACGGUUCACCCUGGGGGAACCAAGAUGUAUAAGGAUCUUAAGGCACAGUUUUGGUGGCCUGGAAUGAAGAGGGACAUUGGCAGAUUUGUGGCUCAGUGUUUGACUUGCCAACAGGUGAAGGCCGAGCAUCGGGUGCCUGCUGGCAAGCUUCAGAGUCUGCCAGUUCCCGAGUGGAAGUGGGAGCACACCACGAUGGACUUCGUCGUUGGAUUGCCUAGAGCGCAGGGUGGCUACGACGCGAUUUGGGUGAUAGUGGACAGACUGACCAAGUCUGCUCACUUCCUACCGGUUCAGACUACCUGGUCCAGGGAGAGACUCGCGCAGCUAUACUUGGAUGAGAUCGUUAGGCUGCACGGCGUGCCAGUGUCGAUUGUAUCAGAUAGAGACCCGAGGUUCGUAUCCCAGUUUUGGAGGAGCCUUCAGACAGCCUUGGGUACACAGCUACAUUUCAGCACAGCAUUCCACCCACAGACAGAUGGU